rnacentral:misc_RNA from 1 species
CUUUUGACUGUUGAUUUCCCGCGCUCGAGUAUUAAACUAGGGAAUAACCGCUCCUCUGCUAUGACAGCUGGGCGGUGUGACAGAUGGGCAAUUUGAAAAGCGAGCACACUCUAAUUUAAUGCGCGUUGGUCAGUUAGAUUUGUGAAUUCCCCUUUGUUUUUACGCAAACGUCGGCUACAGAACCAGAGGAGACUUUGAUUGGGUAGCCUAAUCAGCUUUUAUUCGUUUAUUUCGCGUCAGAACCGCGUUCUGUGACAGCCUAUAAAUUCAUCACUCUCACAGAGCACAAACCAUCAGUUACAAAACGCAAACGCAUUUUAUUUUAACGAGGUUG